UAAAAUAUUUAUUAUUUUCAUUAGGGUUUGGAGAAGUUUGGUAUUGUCAAAAUAUUACAAACAAAAAUAUAUUUUUAAAAAUUUUUAAACAAAGAUUAAUGACUGUUUCCAACAAAAAUGUGAGGCUUUUUUUCCUUCGUCAUCAAAGUGUUCUGUGUAUAGAUAUUUAACAAAUAAGCUGUGCAUGCAAUCCUACUUAAUGAAACCUAUUCCAACCAAGUAUAUUCAAUUGAUUACAAAAUAUAGACUAAGUGCACAUUUAUUAAUGAUUGAGAAGGGAAGAUUUACUAAUAUUCCUAGGGAGAAUAGAUUAUGUUUUUGUUGUCAAAUGGAGGUUGAAGAUGAGUACCAUUUUAUAUUAAAAUGCUCACUUUAUCAUGAGUACAGGAAAUUGUAUAUUAAAAAGUAUUAUUGCAGAAGCACUUAGAGAUUUAAAUCUUUAAACUAAGGAUUUUUCUUUUUAAUGUUUGGUUGGAAAUAUUGUAUACAAACAAUCGUAUGUUAAAACAAGUAUAUGUAGAUAUUUUAUAUAUGUAUAUUUCUUCCGUGCUAUACAUCCUGUAUUUGUAAUGUUGUAUUCUGAUUAUGUAAUCUGAUAAGCCAUAUGGCUUAAGGAAUAAAUAAACAAACAAACAAACAG